rnacentral:rRNA from 1 species
UACGAAGGGGGCUAGCGUUGUUCGGAAUUACUGGGCGUAAAGCGCACGUAGGCGGAUAUUUAAGUCGGGGGUGAAAUCCCGGGGCUCAACCCCGGAACUGCCUUCGAUACUGGGUAUCUUGAGUUCGGAAGAGGUGAGUGGAAUUCCGAGUGUAGAGGUGAAAUUCGUAGAUAUUCGGAGGAACACCAGUGGCGAAGGCGGCUCACUGGUCCAUUACUGACGCUGAGGUGCGAAAGCGUGGGGAGCAAACAGG